rnacentral:rRNA from 1 species
GGGUUGUGAGGUUAAGCGACUAAGCGUACACGGUGGAUGCCCUGGCAGUCAGAGGCGAUGAAGGACGUGCUAAUCUGCGAUAAGCGCCGGUAAGGUGAUAUGAACCGUUAUAACCGGCGAUUUCCGAAUGGGGAAACCCAGUGUGAUUCGUCACACUAUCAUUAACUGAAUCCAUAGGUUAAUGAGGCGAACCGGGGGAACUGAAACAUCUAAGUACCCCGAGGAAAAGAAAUCAACCGAGAUUCCCCCAGUAGCGGCGAGCGAACGGGGAGGAGCCCAGAGCCUGAAUCAGCAUGUGUGUUAGUGGAAGCGUCUGGAAAGGCGCGCGAUACAGGGUGACAGCCCCGUACACAAAAAUGCACAUGCUGUGAGCUCGAUGAGUAGGGCGGGACACGUGGUAUCCUGUCUGAAUAUGGGGGGACCAUCCUCCAAGGCUAAAUACUCCUGACUGACCGAUAGUGAACCAGUACCGUGAGGGAAAGGCGAAAAGAACCCCGGCGAGGGGAGUGAAAAAGAACCUGAAACCGUGUACGUACAAGCAGUGGGAGCACCCUUUGGGGUGUGACUGCGUACCUUUUGUAUAAUGGGUCAGCGACUUAUAUUCUGUAGCAAGGUUAACCGAAUAGGGGAGCCGUAGGGAAACCGAGUCUUAACCGGGCGUUAAGUUGCAGGGUAUAGACCCGAAACCCGGUGAUCUAGCCAUGGGCAGGUUGAAGGUUGGGUAACACUAACUGGAGGACCGAACCGACUAAUGUUGAAAAAUUAGCGGAUGACCUGUGGCUGGGGGUGAAAGGCCAAUCAAACCGGGAGAUAGCUGGUUCUCCCCGAAAGCUAUUUAGGUAGC